rnacentral:rRNA from 1 species
AUUGAACGCUGGCGGCAUGCUUUACACAUGCAAGUCGAACGGUAACAGGCCUUCGGGCGCUGACGAGUGGCGAACGGGUGAGUAAUGCAUCGGAACGUGCCCAGUCGUGGGGGAUAACGCAGCGAAAGCUGUGCUAAUACCGCAUACGAUCUGUGGAUGAAAGCGGGGGACCUUCGGGCCUCGCGCGAUUGGAGCGGCCGAUGUCAGAUCAGGUAGUUGGUGGGGUAAAGGCGCACCAAGCCAACGAUCGGUAGCUGGUCUGAGAGGACGACCAGCCACACUGGAACGGGGUCACGGGCCAGACUGCUAGGUGAGGCAGCAGUGGGGAAGUUUGGACAAUGGGCGCAAGCUUGGUCCAGCAAUGGCGCGUGCAGGAAGAAGGCCUUCGGGUAGUAAACUGCUUUUGUACGGAACGACACGGUCCUGGUUAAUACCUGGGGCUAAUGACGGUACCGUAAGGAUAAGCACCGGCUAACUACGUGCCAGCCGCCGCCGUAAGAC